GACGAACGCUGGCGGCGUGCCUAAUACAUGCAAGUCGAGCGGACUGAAUGGGAGCUUGCUCUUGUUCGGUCAGCGGCGGACGGGUAAGUAACACGUGGGCAACCUGCCCGCAAGACCGGGAUAACUCCGGGAAACCGGAGCUAAUACCGGAUAACACCGAAGACCGCAUGGUCUUUGGUUGAAAGGCGGCGCAAGCUGCCACUUGCGGAUGGGCCCGCGGCGCAUUAGCUAGUUGGUGAGGUAACGGCUCACCAAGGCGACGAUGCGUAGCCGGCCUGAGAGGGUGACCGGCCACACUGGGACUGAGACACGGCCCAGACUCCUACGGGAGGCAGCAGUAGGGAAUCUUCCGCAAUGGGCGAAAGCCUGACGGAGCGACGCCGCGUGAGCGAAGAAGGCCUUCGGGUCGUAAAGCUCUGUUGUGAGGGACGAAGGAGCGCCGUUCGAAGAAGGCGGCGCGGUGACGGUACCUCACGAGGAAGCCCCGGCUAACUACGUG
rnacentral:rRNA from 1 species